rnacentral:rRNA from 1 species
GAUGAACGCUAGCUACAGGCUUAACACAUGCAAGUUGAGGGGCAGCACAGUGUAGCAAUACACGGGUGGCGACCGGCGCACGGGUGCGUAACACGUAUCCAAUCUGCCCGUUACUCGGGGAUAGCCUUCUGAAAGGAAGAUUAAUACCCGAUGGCAUUCAUUUGCGGCAUCGAUUAUGAACUAAAGAUUUAUCGGUAACGGAUUAGGAUGCGUACGAUUAGCUGGUUGGCGGGGUAACGGCCCACCAAGGCGACGAUCGCUAGGGGUUCUGAGAGGAAGGUCCCCCACACUGGAACUGAGACACGGUCCAGACUCCUACGGGAGGCAGCAGUGUGGAAUAUUGGUCAAUGGUCGAGAGACUGAACCAGCCAAGUAGCGUGAAGGAUGACUGCCCUACGGGUUGUAAACUUCUUUUGUUUGGGAAUAAAGUGAGGCACGUGUGCCUUUUUGUAUGUACCUUACGAAUAAGCAUCGGCUAAUUCCGUGCCAGCCGCCGCGGUAACAC